rnacentral:lncRNA from 1 species
AGACGGAAAGCAGCACGCGCGGAAACCAUGCAGACGAAUGGGAUUAGGCUCCGCCUCUUUUGGAUCAUUUGAAGACAAAAUAAGCACCCGAGGCGGCUUUCUGAUUGGAUAAGAGCCUCAUGAAUAUGUAUUUUAUCGAUAGUAUCGUUUAAGAAACCGGAUAAAUAUAUUUGACCUCAUUGCGUCCCUUUAAUUAUGCAGAUUUAUGCACAACGCUACUACACUCGCACAAACUGAGAAGAGUUAGUUCAUUGAGAAUGGAUUGAAACUGAUGAAGAGCUUGAAGGAGUUAACUGAUGAGUAGACAUUACAACAUUUCUUAUAUUUGCAAGAUGAAGCUGAAAGUCACAUGCAGGAUGAUGCUUCUCUACAGUGGAUGAUGAAGGCAUGCUGAUUACAAACCCAGGAGAGGAACAAAGAACAGAUAUUGGCAGAAUCACUAUAUCUAGAGAUGCGGGCCUACUACACUUCAAACGAGCAAGUGUGCUAAUAUACAAUACUUUGGUUAUCGUUACAGCCCUUUCUUCUGAAAACUAGGCUACAACUUUAUUGAUGAAUGCAAGAGACAUCUACAUUGGAGUACGUCUUGAAGAUGCCACCCUCAUAUAAUGUAAGAGGACAGGAGAGAUGGGUUUAAACUUGAAUAUUUACAUGAUAUUUAUUUAUUAUUUGUAUUAUAUAUUUGUAGAAUACCACAUUCAAUAAAGCUAAUGAAUUUAUCAUCAUGUCAACUUUCAAAUGAUUAAAGAUAACUAUUCAUCAAUGAAUAAACAUUAACAUUUUAACAAUGUCAACUACCAUCUUAUGGGAGGACUGGGCCGAAAGAUUCUCCUUGAAAUUUGAGUGAUAAAGAUCUACCAGUCUAUAUCAAAGAUUGAAUUAAUCAAUGAUAUUUUAAUUAUAAUUAUACAUGUUGAAAUUCAUUUACCUCUAUGGACUUCUGUAUUUUAGAGGAUUUGUAGAGUAUUACAUUAUUGCAGUAUAAUGCUGCUUCAAGUAUUGUAUGUAAGAAGGUUUUAAAGUCAACCCUCUAAAUGCAUUAAAUAUAGAAAGACA